rnacentral:rRNA from 1 species
AGGAUGAACGCUGGCGGUAUGCCUAACACAUGCAAGUCGAACGGGUGUCUUCGGACAUUAGUGGCGGACGGGUGAGUAACGCGUGAGAAUCUGCCUUCAGGAUGGGGACAACAGUUGGAAACGACUGCUAAUACCCGAUAUGACGAAAGUUGAAAGAUUUAUCGCCUGGAGAUGAGCUCGCGUCAGAUUAGCUAGUUGGUGUGGUAAUGGCGCACCAAGGCGACGAUCUGUAGCUGGUCUGAGAGGACGAUCAGCCACACUGGGACUGAGACACGGCCCAGACUCCUACGGGAGGCAGCAGUGGGGAAUCUUGCGCAAUGGGCGAAAGCCUGACGCAGCAACGCCGCGUGGGGAUGAAGGCUCUCGGGUUGUAAACCCCUUUCAGCAGGGACGAAUCAAGACGGUACCUGCAGAAGAAGCCCGGCUAACUACGUGCCAGCAGCCGC